AAGACCAUAAGGCUUUGCCUUGCGUUGAGCUGUUGAUCAUCCGGUCAACAACUUCAAACUGAUUGGCGUCUGAAGUUUAGCCCAAGCACAGCAACAUGUGACGGUAAGCUAACCUCAAAUUGCCUAUUCUAUCCAUACA
rnacentral:misc_RNA from 1 species